AUUGAACGCUGGCGGCAGGCCUAACACAUGCAAGUCGAGCGGAUGAAGGGAGCUUGCUCCUGGAUUCAGCGGCGGACGGGUGAGUAAUGCCUAGGAAUCUGCCUGGUAGUGGGGGAUAACGUCCGGAAACGGGCGCUAAUACCGCAUACGUCCUGAGGGAGAAAGUGGGGGAUCUUCGGACCUCACGCUAUCAGAUGAGCCUAGGUCGGAUUAGCUAGUUGGUGGGGUAAAGGCCUACCAAGGCGACGAUCCGUAACUGGUCUGAGAGGAUGAUCAGUCACACGGGAACUGAGACACGGUCCAGACUCCUACGGGAGGCAGCCGUGGGGAAUAUUGGACAAUGGGCGAAGGCCUGAUCCAGCCAUGCCGCGUGUGUGAAGAAGGUCUUCGGAUUGUAUAGCACUUUAAGUUGGGACGAAGGGCAGUAAGUUAAUACCUUGCUGUUUUGACGUUACCAAAAGAGUAAGCACCGGCUAACUUCGUG
rnacentral:rRNA from 1 species